UUCCAGACUCCUACGGGAGGCAGCAGUGGGGAAUAUUGCACAAUGGGGGAAACCCUGAUGCAGCGACGCCGCGUGAGCGAUGAAGUAUUUCGGUAUGUAAAGCUCUAUCAGCAGGGAAGAAGAUGACGGUACCUGACUAAGAAGCCCCGGCUAACUACGUGCCAGCAGCCGCGGUAAUACGUAGGGGGCAAGCGUUAUCCGGAUUUACUGGGUGUAAAGGGAGCGUAGACGGCGAUGCAAGCCAGAUGUGAAAGCCCGGGGCUCAACCCCGGGACUGCAUUUGGAACUGUGUGGCUGGAGUGUCGGAGAGGCAGGCGGAAUUCCUAGUGUAGCGGUGAAAUGCGUAGAUAUUAGGAGGAACACCAGUGGCGAAGGCGGCCUGCUGGACGAUGACUGACGUUGAGGCUCGAAAGCGUGGGGAGCAAACAGGAUUAGAUACCCCUGUACC
rnacentral:rRNA from 1 species